GUGUUAGAGGAAGAGGUUGAUGAUUUCCCAACUUUUGGAGACUCCCAGAGUGACUAUGAUACGGUAGUCCAUCCUUUCUACGCUUAUUGGCAGAGUUUCUGCACUCAAAAGAAUUUUGCAUGGAAGGAAGAAUAUGAUACACGACAAGCUUCAAACCGCUGGGAAAAACGAGCCAUGGAAAAAGAAAACAAAAAGAUUCGGGACAAAGCAAGGAAAGAGAAGAAUGAGCUUGUCCGUCAGCUGGUAGCUUUCAUUCGUAAAAGAGAUAAAAGAGUGCAGGCACAUCGAAAACUUGUGGAAGAACAGAAUGCAGAGAAGGCGAGGAAAGCCGAAGAGAUGAGGCGGCAGCAGAAGCUAAAGCAGGCCAAACUGGCGGAGCAGUACAGAGAACAGAGCUGGAUGACUAUGGCCAAUUUGGAGAAAGAGCUCCAGGAGAUGGAGGCACGGUACGAGAAGGAGUUUGGAGAUGGAUCAGAUGAAAACGAAAUGGAAGAACAUGAACUCAAAGAUGGGGAGGAUGGUAAAGACAGUGAUGAGGCCGAGGACACUGAGCUCUAUGAUGACCUCUACUGCCCAGCAUGUGACAAAUCGUUCAAGACAGAAAAGGCCAUGAAGAAUCAUGAGAAGUCAAAGAAGCAUCGGGAAAUGGUGGCCUUGCUAAAACAACAGCUGGAGGAGGAGGAAGAAAAUUUUUCAAGACCUCAAAUUGAUGAAAAUUCAUUAGAUGACAAUUCUGAGGAAGAAAUGGAAGAUGCACCAAAACAAAAAGUCAAGUAUUUGACAUUUCGAUUUAUAUUUGCUCUUAGGCUUUCUAAAAAACAGAAGAAAAAGAAACAGAAACCAGCACAGAAUUAUGAUGACAAUUUCAAUGUAAAUGGAACUGGAGAAGGAGUAAAGGUUGAUCCAGAAGAUACUAACUUAAAUCAAGACAGUGCCAAAGAAUCGGAAGAUACUCCCCAGGAAAAUGUCAGUGUCACAGAGACCAUUAAACCAUGUGAUGAUCCAAAAAGUGAAGCUAAAAGUGUUCCUAAACCCAAA
rnacentral:sRNA from 1 species